UACGUAGGGUCCGAGCGUUGUCCGGAAUUAUUGGGCGUAAAGGGCUCGUAGGCGGUCCGUCACGUCGGGAGUGAAAACUCAGGGCUCAACCCUGAGCGUGCUUCCGAUACGGGCGGACUAGAGGUAUGCAGGGGGAGAACGGAAUUCCUGGUGUAGCGGUGGAAUGCGCAGAUAUCAGGAGGAACACCGGUGGCGAAGGCGGUUCUCUGGGCAUUACCUGACGCUGAGGAGCGAAAGCAUGGGGAGCGAACAGG
rnacentral:rRNA from 1 species